rnacentral:sRNA from 1 species
UGAUGUGGUCUGGUGGACUCGAGGUCCAUAU